rnacentral:misc_RNA from 1 species
GUGAAUCAUCAAAUUUUUGAACGCAAAUUGCGCUUCCUGGCAUCCCGGGAAGUAUUCCUGUUUGAGGGUCAGUAUUAAUAAAAAAGCUGUUUAGUUACAAAUUGUGACGUUUCCGGAGUUUGGGCUAUCUUAACAUUUUUGGUUAAGAUGAUUAUAAUUUACCUUUUUUUCGUAGUUUUAAACGUAUAUAAUUUUUUUUUAUUCGUUUAUUCUUAUUGCCAAAAUCUUAGUAGAUACGAUCACAUCGUGUUGCUUCUUGUCCAUUAAUUUUUCAUGU